GGGGUUAUAGCUCAGCUGGUAGAGCGCUUGCAUGGCAUGCAAGAGGUCGGCGGUUCGAGACCGCCUAGCUCCACAA
rnacentral:tRNA from 1 species